UACCGUCAUGUGUAGCUCUAGUGAAUGAAUAUUCCUACUAUUAACUCGUUGCCAGCGUGGUACAGUAGAAUAGAUGCAUGCUAAAGGUGAUAUUUCCAGUUCUGGGCCCAACUUCAUGGCCGCUCAACUGCUGGUAACCCAAUGUUGUAGAUGCAGGUAACAGCCUUCAGUCUAAUUCCUUCCUUUUUGCUUUAUUGUUGGAGAGAAAUUUGGUUGUAGCCAAGGAGAUUGUACAUUUGGUUACACUUCUGAAACAGUCAUACUGUUGUAGACCACUCUGUUCGUGUGAUGCAUCGGCCAUCAGGUGAAAACUUAUGGGUCCGUUCAGCCUCUGAACCCUGAUCUCGUCGCCCCUCUGUUUUUUCCUUUUUGGAAAAGGAGGUUUAAACCCUCGGCUUCUGCAUCAAGCGAUGCAUGUGGCCAUCAAACCACACGAAGCCAUCACUCACACCUAUAAAACUCAAUUAUGUGGAGUGCUUUUACUCCUCAAAUCUAAAUCGGUGUCAUCGCCGAUCCAUCCACGUAACGUAUUGGAACGAACAACCAGUACAUCAGACCUAAAGUGUACACCACACAUGCACACGUUUUAGACGCCGCCGUCAUCAUCAGACCGCUGACCCAUCUUCAGGAGAGAGAUCCGCAUCAUCCUUGUCAGCCCGUCCAUCUGUCCAUCCGUCGAUGCCACCACGGCGCCACCUCCUCGCGCUCGUCCGUCCAAGCGCGAAGAUUCUGGAAGAUCUGUCGUGCGUAGCACCUGCCGACCAGGCAUGACACAGCGUAGCACCUGUCGGUCAGGCAUGACUUGACAUCUUCACCGAAGCUCCGUGCAAGACGAAGCCGCUCCACCUCCUGCCUCUUGUCUUCUAGCGCUGCUCCACAAACAAUGCUCCCAAGAGAGAAACGAUGCCGCAGUACCGCCAUCGUACGAUCUGGAAGACCAGAUCCUAAGGUUUCCCCUGGAGCAGCAUGAGUGGGUCGACAGUCGUUGCACGGCGAUGCCUUCAUCAAGGUAACGACGCAUAACGCCGCCAUCGCUUGCCAUCGGCUCGGUUUUCACCGACAACUUGUCAUCCUGACUCGCAGCUGGAAAUAGAUGGCGGAUCUUGAGAUCUGACCAUCCAGCCUCAGGCCGACCACCUCCGACGGAGGAGACCGCCGGCUGCACCGGCCAGAUUGGAUCUGACCGGAGGCGCCGCCAAGCCGCCCACCCGACAAGAUCAAUGUGAAGGACACCCGACCACCGGAGGUAGCCGCCGCCACCAUCAUGGGUGAUCCUGCUGCCGGAUUGGCCGCCAUCUGCGUGCGUGCGCCCGCGCCGCGGCCACCACGCCUCCUCCAUGGAUCUGGGCAGGAUCCCAUCCCUGAAGAAGAGGGCUGCAGUGACAUGGGCGCACAACCGCUAUCAUCGCCGUCCUCCCACCACCACCGGGCCUAGCGACGCGAGCCGAGGAGCGCCGGGCCGUCCACCCAUCGCUCGAGCCUCCUGCCCGAGGACAAGCCACGCCAGGGUACCAGGGACCCCGCCGCCGCCGGAUCUGCACGGGCUUAGCCCGGUCGAGUCCAUAGGGCGGCGACGAGGGGGAAGAGAAGGUGUGAGAGGGACCUGGCGGAGUAGAUCUCGCCGCCGCCCGAGUUGCCUCUCUGCUAUUCAAUGAAAGCUUGCUGUGUAGCCUUUUCGUCAAAAUUAAAAGAAGAAGAAAACGUUGUGGAUGAGCAUGCGCUUUCCUGUGAAGCCAUGAUCAUGCACCAAACUAGGUGUGCUUCGGCACACCUGUAUUUACAUAAGUUUACAAUUGACGCAACAGAUCUAUUUAUAGAUCAAAACUUUACUAAAAACACAUGUUAGAACGCGUCGCGGUUUGCCGGAGAGCUGUCUCACAAACCCUACUCAGAUCAGCUCAACACCAACUUCAACAAACCACCACAGAAGGUGCGCACGGAGAACUCCGUGAUGUUUACCAGCUCGAGGACCCCUUCCUCUUCUUCCAUGAUGACGCAGCUUCCGUCUCCUCCCUCCUCACUAAGGCCUAGGUCGGCGAGCCGUUCACCGCGCUCCGCCUCAUCUAGAACCUCAGCAUGCAAGGUCUAGGCAGGGUAAAUGGAGGUCUAGGCAGGGUAAGAAAGGGCUUAGGGCAUAAAUGGAGGUCUAGGUCGGCGAGACUUAGGGCAUAAAUGGAGGUCUAGGCAGAGUAAGCAAGGAAUUGCCUACACAAAUAAGAAAUCAUGCCACAUACUACACUAGUAUGCCAAACGGGUUAUAUUUCAAUGGUAGUAGACGGUAAUUCACUUCUUUAUAUGCGCUAAACUAAUAUCAACACCCAUAUAAUAAUCACAAAUGCACUACGAGUAAAAACUAAGUUACCACCUAGGUCGCACCUAGGGCUCUUAGGCACCGCCUAGGCACUAGGCGAAGGCCAACCGCCUUGCUUACGCCUACUGCUUUUUCCAACCUUGUCUAAAACUAGCCCUAAGUCAUACAAGGCCCAUGGGCCCAAGUGGAGGUGAUGCAACACCUUUGGACUUGUAAUUUGACUUGGAUUCUGCUGUAACAUCACAUUGUUUUGUCAAUAUCUCAACACUUCAAGCGAAUUUGAAGGUGAAUCCAAUUGGGUUGGAAAGAGCACAAAAUCUGCUUUCCAACAGAAAAAGAAUUACCCAAUUCGGAGUCCGAAUGAAAGAGAUCUCGGCAUUUUGAGUCAGGUAUGUUUGUGCAGUCAGAAUCUGAGUCCAGAACAUGGGAGACUUGGACUCUAUCUUCUCUUGGCCCAAAAGUGAUGUGAGAGCACUUUUUUUAACAACACCUAAACUUCUCUUUUUCUCUUAUCUUCAUAUGUGGAUUGUACAAAUGUCCCAUACACCUGCAAUUAGGCAUGGCACAAAGGUCUGUUAAGUAUUUUUGUCCUGGAUAACAUAAAUAAAUUAUUGCAUAUACUACAAGAAAUACGUCAACUUGCGACCAUCACUAUUGGUCGCUGAAAGGUCAUUGUUUUUCAUUUGUGACCUUUUUGUGACCAAAAACAGAUGGUCAAAAGCUGGCAGUCGUAAACUGAAAUUAACGAGGCAACAACCAAAACAAAAGGUCAUGGAUUCUACGACCUUCUGUUUUGGUCACUAGCUGUCUGCCCAGGCCACGUCGGAUCCGACGUGGCAAAAUUACGACCAAUUGAAAAGGUCGUUGAUAAGAUUCAGCCGGGUCCAAUUCGGUGUUUUAGAUGGGCCGAGUCCAGUAAUUCGGCCUUUUAUGUUUUUUUGGACUGAUUUUUUCUGCUAUAUGGCUGGGCCUUUUCUAUCCGGGCUCGGCCUUUUUUCCAGUCAUUUUUUCAACAUAAUACCAUUUGGGGCAAGGCCUUUUUGCAACCCAGGAAUUAAUUUGUCCAACAUUGUUCGGGCCAAGGCCUCUUCCAGCCCAUCAAUAUUUUCAGCCUAGUAAUGCAAAAGGACUAGAUGACGGAGAAACAAAUGAUUUUUUUUCAAGUUUGCUGUCAAAGCAACGUUUGUUCCAUCAUACAACAUUUGUUGUGAUUACAUUUUCAUCACAUUACAGACAUAAGAAGCAGCAACUAAAAGAUUCUCAUCUAUAACAAACGACAGCCAUGUUCAAAUAACCUUGGCAAUAAAAAAACAGCAUCACAACUAAUAUACAGUACAACUUCCGCUUAUGUGCAGACCUACAGGAAGGCCAAACAAAAAAAAAUCAUUGAAAAUAUGAUCACUAGCUUAGAUAUUUAGAGAUAACUGCUAUGCUGCCGAUUAGAUUUGGUUGCAACCCUUCCAAUUUGGUAGGGGAAUCUCUCUAGCAUCAUCUCUCAUAACCUAAAAGAAGGAACAUAAACCAUCAUCAGAAUUUGCAACUUUUUGUCCUGCCAAAAUAUUAGUACUUGUUUAAAACAAAGGAUUGAUGGCAAAAAUUAUUUCUGUAGGUGUUUGUUGGAUACUGAUGGUAGUUUGAGUUGGUAGGCUGAAUAGUUCAGUGUGUUAAACAACCAGGUGCAUUUUUCUCUACAGCUGAACCAGGUAUAUAGUUCAAAGUCUGUUAAGCAUGUGACACAAAACAUUUUUUGUAUUUCAGCAUGAUAGACCAUAAACAUAACUUGCUAAUUGCAGGUUAAAACUAAAAUGUUCGGAGUGAGCCAAAUAAUGCAUAGGUAAUUAUGAUGGAGAAACCACACUUUUAUAAAAUGUUUAAAUACUCUAAAAUAAAUAAAACAAUAGCAAAUACAAUUAUUUAAUGCUUUAGAAAUGAUGAACAUUUUCCGAACUAAAUUGUUAUAAGUAUUAAACUAUUGUGGCAGUGGCAUAAUUUGUAAAAUCUAAUUAGGUGCCAAUUUGAUAAUUUACUAAAACUAAAAUAAAAGGAAACUAAAAGAAAGCAAAAAUAACAAAUAAAAGUAAGAAAAGAUAAAGGCAAAACAUCAAAGGGUUAAAAACAGAAAAACAGAACCCCCCUCCCCCAGUGGGCUUCGUGGCCCAACUGGCCAUUCAGCCCGUCAUGCCGGCCCACUCCCCGCACACCGCCUGGCCUAUAGGCCACGCCCCGAAACCCUAACCGCACUACCCCCACUCACCCCCUCCCACAUCGCCCACUCCUCCCCCCGAUCUGGAUCGAGAUCGGGGGCUCGACGCCGCCGCCGCCCGGUGCUGUCCCGCCUCACGCCGGCGCCUCGCCGCCACACGUCGCUCACCGCCGUCCUCCACCUCCUCCCCGUUCCUGGACCGGGAAGUGCCCCCGACGCCGUGCGCCGCACCAUCGCCGCCCGGAGCUUCGCUCCUUGCUGGACCUCCCCGACCGCCUCCCCACCGGACUGCCUCCUCCACGCCUUCGUCAUCCUCGGCCUCCACCACGAGCACCACUGCCCUGGACCCUACAUCCCUCUGUGAGCGCCAUCCCCAUCUCCCUCUCUCCCCGUCGUCGCGGUUGCCUUUCUCCGCACGAGCACACGCUCACUCGCCGUCGCCCCUCGCCCGUGCAUGGCCACGCGCCCGCUGUCCCGUCAUGGUCACCGCCCCUCUUGGCUCCAGCGCAUGCACACCGCACACGCCCGUCCCCGACUUCUCCCUCGCGCGCCCGCUCGCUUCGGCACCCGCGCUUGCCGUCACCGGCCACGGCCACCGCCGAAGCCCCCUGCUACCCGUGCCUCCCGCUCGUCGGUCCGGUCCCCACUCCGGCCACCACCCGCGGCCUCCUCCUCCCCGCGCCACUCCUCAUCGCCACGCCCCGCGGCCACCUCCGCUGCCUCCCUUGGCCGGCGCCUUGGCCGCCGGCGCCCAGCCGCGUCGGGCCAUGGCCUCCGCCUGCGGUCGGGUGCCCGUAGCGCCCGUUCGGGCCACCCCGCACCCGUCGCCCGUUAUGCCCCAGGGCCUAUGACAUAUGGGCCCUCCCUAGAACGGUUUUAUAAAAAAAAGAAUUAAAAUAAUAAUAAUAAAUUUAAUUAAUUAAUUAAUUAAAUUAAUUAACUAAAUUAAUCCUAUUUAGUUAACCUAAUUAACUAGUUAGUUUAAUUAAACAGUAAUUAGAUUACUUAAACCCUAAUUAGACUAAACAAUCAAUGACGAUCGGGUCCCACAUGUCAGUUGACUAGUCAACGCCUUUGUUGACUGCUGACGUCAUGCUGACGUCAGCGUGCACUGUUCUGGAUAAUGUUGAAUUAAAAUAUUUAAAUUAAUCCUAAAAGUGAUUUAAAACUUAAAAAAUUAAUUUAAAAUAAACCGUAGCUCAGAUGGAAAAACUUUCUACAUGAAAGUUGCUAAGAACGACGAGACGAAUCCGGAUACGCAGCCCGUUCAUCCGCCACGCGUCCCUAGCAUAGUGAACCUGCAACAUUUCACCUCUGGUUCAUCUAUCCGAAAACACGGAACACCGGGGAUAUUUUCCCGGAUGUUUCCCCCUUCACCGGUAUCACCUCAUACCGCGUUAGAACACGUCUAGCUCUGCUUGUUGUCCUGUUAUGCACCUGCUUGCUAUGUAUUUACUGUUUCUCCUCCCCUCUUCUCUCCGGUAGACCCCAUGACGAUGCUGAUGCCCCUGUGGUCGACUACGUCACCGACGACCCCUCCUUGUCUGAGCAACCAGGCAAGCCCCCCCCCCUUGAUCACCAGAUAUCGCCUAUUCUUCUCUAUACUGCUUGCAUUAGAGUAGUGUAGCAUGUUACUGCUUUCCGUUAAUCCUAUUCUGAUGCAUAGCCUGUCAUUGUUGCUACAGUCAUUGAUACCUUACCCGCAAUCCUAAAUGCUUAGUAUAGGAUGCUAGUUUAUCAUCAUUGGCCCUACAAUCUUGUCAGUCUGCCUUGCUAUACUAUUGGGCCUUGAUCACUCGGGAGGUGAUCACGGGUGUAUACUAUACAUAUAUACAUACUACAGAUGGUGACUAAAGUCGGGUUAGCUCGUUGAGUACCCGCAACUGAUUCGGAUAAGGGGGCUGAAAGGACAGGUGGCUCCAUCCCGGUAGAGGUGGGCCUGGGUUCCCGACGGCCCCCGACUGUUACUAUGUGGCGGAGCGACAGGGCAGGUUGAGACCACCUAGGCGAGAGGUGGGCCUGGCCCUGGUCGGCGUUCGCGGUUGCUUCUUAAUAACACACUUAACGAGAUCUUGGUAUUUGAUCUGAGUCUGGCCACUGGCCUAUACGCACUAACCAACUAUGUGGGAAAUAUAUGGGCACUCGACGUCGUGGUAUCAGCCGAAGCCUUCUAGACGUCAGCGACUGAGCGGCGCACGCCGGAUUGGAACGUAAGCCUGCUCUUGUAUUAAGGGGGCUAGUUCUGCUUUCGGCCUCCCAUGCAACAUGUAGGUGUGCAAUGGGCGAUGGGCCCAGACCCCUGCGCCAUAGGAGUUAGACCGGCGUGCUGACCUCUCUGUUAGGCCUAGGUGGGGCUGCGACGUGUUGAUCUUCCGAGGCCGGGCAUGACCCAGGAAAGUGUGUCCGGCCAAAUGGGAUCGAGCGUGUUGGGUUAUGUGGUGCACCCCUGCAGGGAAGUUAAUCAAUUCGAAUAGCCGUGAUCUUCGGUAACAGGACAACUUGGAGUUGUACCUUGACCUUAUGACAACCAGAACCAGAUACUUAAUAAAACACACCCUUCCAAGUUCCACGGACAACCCGAUGAUCGCUUUUCCACAGGGUGACGAGGGGAGGAUCGCCGGGUAGGAUUAUGCUAUGCGAUGCUACUGGAGAUGCUACUUGGAAGACUUCAAUCUACUCUCUUCUACAUGCUGCAAGACGGAGGCUGCCAGAAGCGUAGUCUUCGAUAGGACUAGCUAUCCCCCUCUUAUUCUGGCAUUCUGCAGUUCAGUCCACUCAUAUUGCCUCCUUACACAUAUAGCCAUGCAUAUGUAGUGUAGCUCCUUGCUUGCGAGUACUUUGGAUGAGUACUCACGGUUGCUUUUCUCCCUCUUUUCCCUUCUACCUGGUUGUCGCAACCAGAUGCUGGAGCCCUGGAGCCAGACGGCACCGUCGACGACGACUCCUACUACACAGGAGGUGCCUACUACUACGUGCAGGCUGCUGACGACGACCAUGAGUAGUUUAGGAGGAUCCCAGGCAGGAGGCCUGCGCCUCUUUCGAUAUGUAUCCCAGUUUGUGCUAGCCAUCUUAUGGCAAACUUGUUUAACUUAUGUCUGUACUCAGAUAUUAUUGCUUCCGCUGACUUGUCUAUGAUCGAGCACUUGUAUUCGAGCCCUCGAGGCCCCUGGCUUGUAUUAUGAUGCUUGUAUGACUUAUUUUAUUUUUUAGAGUUGUGUUGUGAUAUCUUCCCGUGAGUCCCUGAUCUUGAUCGUACACGUUUGCGUGUAUGAUUAGUGUAUGAUUAAAUCGGGGGUGUCACAACGUGCCACAUGUCGGCGAAAGGGACUAGAACAUUUAUGAAAGUGAGCACUCUACUCUUAUGAUAGAGGAGUACACGACAUGGUGGCCCAGUGAACUGUUACUUGUACUGUAGUACUACUAUAGUUUUGUUGUUUCGCACGAUCCAUCAAUGCAAACCCGAUGAAACAAGCAAGGGCGGGAUUUCCCCCCCGCAGUAGAUGAUACUAGCCAUACAUUUCAAAGGCAAUUUUAAUGUAUGCAAACUGAAUAAUUAAGUAAUAAUAUGAGAUCUAGUAAAACUAAAAACACAUAUGAUUUAUUAUGUUAGAGUGUAGUAGUAGUGUUGUAUUGCAUAGUUGUUAGAUGUAACAUGCGAGAACAUGUAGAGAUGUACUUUUGGAGGGCCUACAAAGAGAAAUUGGGAAUAAAGUGGAUUCAAAUAUUUGUAUUCGUCUUCAUAGCAUUUGUAACUCAUAUGUACAGUUUGUACAGUAGACGUGAAUGCUUGUUCGGUCUUAUGAAACUAGUGUAGCAAUAAUGGGGUGGUGUGCGCCAAUUGAGGCACUGGCACGUUGGCCUACUCGGCUCCACAGAGAGAGUGAGAGAAGAGAUAAAUACACGGGCAAAGCGAAAAGCAUAAUACGGUCACCGGACUUCAGAAUACACUCAUUACGGUCAUUAUAUACGUUUUGCGGUGAUUAUACGGUUACUUGCUCACCGUUCACCAUCGGAUUGCACUCUGCUAACCGGCUAAAUAGUCUGUGUGGCACUAUGUUGACUAGUUAAAUUGACCAUGUUCCUUGUGUGUCCCACCUAUCAGUUCGCAUAGGAAAAAGGACAGAUAAACGCAAAUUUACGCAGGCGCGACAAGACUCCAACCCGUGCACGGGAACCACCUAGUUGUGUAUGUGUCUCUCAGGGCCUAAUGUGUGCGCAUGCACGUGUAGGUUGAGCACUUGAGUGUGAGAGGGUGUGUUGGUCGUGUGGUGUGUGCAUGCAUGCGUGCGUGUGAGUGUUGCAUGCGUGCGUGGCUAUGUGUACGUGCCAGUGUUGCGUGUGUGCGUGGUUGCGUGUGUUCGCGUGAGUGUUGUGUGCAUGCAGUUCAUGUGCAUGCGUGCGUGUGUGUAUAAUCACCACACCAGCUCUUGUGUGUUAAAACAGAUGACUCAACAUACCAAUACAAGGCCACCUUGUCCAUUGUGCCCGCGGUCAUGACUUUGAAACCGUCCAAUAUUUUUUUAUCGUUUGUUUUCAUUCUUAUACACGCCGACAGGUGGGCCCAAUGGUAGUGAGCUAAUGUGAUGCAACACUAGAGGUGCCACAUCGAGUGUUUAACUAGUCAACUAGUCGUGUCUUCAGCAAAUACAAAGCUGUACGAUGAGCCCGUGACUCUAUAAUAACCAGAAAACCUAAAUGGUGACCGUAAUGAGUGUAUUUUGAAGUCCAAUGUACGUAUCGUGCUUUUGCUUCAAAUACAAUGAUCGUCAUUGUAUAUAUCGCGAGAGAAAUAUGAAACAUGCAUGAAUGUGCUCGUGGCAUACUUUUAGAGGACCUGGAGAUAGUUUGUGUGCGUACGUGAAAGGGGCGUAGAGGGGGUGUACGCGAUAGAGAGAGAUGCUCUUCAUUUCUCUUUAUUAUGAAUAACUUUAUAUAUAGUAUAAAAAUAUAAAAAUUCAUAGUGCGGAAUAAAUAUAAUUGGGGGCACCAUGCAAUGCAAAUUAACGUUCAUACUCCUCCAUAUAACUUUAUAUGUUGUAUAUAUGUAGAAAUUCUAAAAUAAUCUUUUGGCCACACUUUGUGUGGUUUUAUUCAAAAGGAAUGUUGUAUGCGAAAUAAACAUGAAGAGAGGGCUUUUUAGAUCAUUGGGGUACGUGAUGUAACAUGUGUGAAUGUGUAGUUGAUGUAUUUGGCAAGGCCUAGAGAGGUAUGUGUAUGUAUUACGUAUUCGAGAGAGGAAUGGAUAGAGGGGACAACGACGCGGGGGGCGUGGGAGAGAUAGCACGAGAAAUGAGAGGUCUAGAUAGAGAGAGAGAGACGAAUAGGAUGUCAUGGCGAGAGAUGCCCUCGAGUGUGUAUAUCGAAGGGCGGAGGGGAUAGAGGCACGGGGAGAAAAUAUUUUUUGUGGUGUAUUUGUUGGUAUGUGUGGGUGUGAGAAGAUAAUGAGACCUGGGGGCUUAGGGUGUGUCACUGCGUGAGGUCUGAUGGGCCGAGGUGAGGCCCUUGGCUCGGUUCCAUCCUGCGCCACAUUGGUCGGCCCGUGACGCAUUUAGGGAGACCCAUGAAGGACUAGUCAUACAAGACAAAGUUAGCAGAGUCAUGAAGGACUCUGUGUCCACUGACAAAGCCAGCUAGGAUUUGUAACCCUAGGUCCUCGGACUAAGGUAACUCCUUAUCUCUGAUAUUACUAUUCAUCCAACCUAACUUGAAGGGGCAUCCUAAAGAAUGCUAUGCUAGAAUCAUACUCCUCAAUUAGGAAGAGAGGUGGAGAGAAUGGGUGAGAGACAUGCCUAAGGAUAAUAUGUGUGCGGGAGACUCGUAGGCAGGUCUACGUAUAUAGAAAGGGUCGAUGGGGAUUAUGCGUGUGUAUGCUUGUGAGAGGGAGAGUGCUUGUGAUAAAGGUUAGUGAAAAAGUCAUAAAUUGUUACGAGAGUGAGGGAGGGUUAUAUCGAGAGCAUGUCCGCGAGAAAGACACCUCGGGAGAGCGUGUGUGAGAGACCACCGAUGGAUAUACACCGUUUGCGUGUAUGUGUGAGAGAGAAAGUCAGCGUGUGUGUGAGGAGGGGCCUAUGGAGAGUGAAACUACACGUAAAAGACUAAUGUACACAUUGAUUAAAAAUAUAAAUUGUAUCCAAAUAUUAGGAUGAGAUCAUGAUAUUUGCAAUUCGCGUAAGGAACGAUCAUUGAUCCAUCAGACAUCUAUAUUCUAUCGAAUUUGAGCAAGUCUAUGUUAUUAUUCGACAUAAUUGAUCCACAGAGUCAGUAUUUUAAACUCCAGACAAUGCAUAGCUUUAGCAAUCGAAUAUAAACGUGAGUACAGUUCAUGUGUGUGUGUAAAGCACAGUAUACAUAGAAAAGUUACACAAUGAACAUUAUAAAUAGCUAGCUAUGAACUAGCAUACAUUUGAAUUCAACUUAAGGUGGUUUUAAAAAAUCGAGUUCAACAUGAAGUCCAUUAAUUAUGCAUGGCAUUUGUAAAUCAUACGUAAAUUAUGGGGCACCAAUCUUUGCUCUGCCUUUGUACAUAAUAGCAUAUAUUGUUGUGUACAAAAUAGAUUCAAAUUUACCUCCUCCAUUCCCAAAUAAUCAUAGUUAUAGGAUUUUCAAGUGUCAAAAUUUCAAAAAGAAGCGCAUAAUUUAAUGUGAUUUUCAAACAUACAAGGUCAAAUUUAAUGUUGUCUAUUUAGGUCAGUCCUCAAAGUUCAAGAGUACUCCCUCCGUUUUUAUUUAGUCCGCGUAUUAGCUUUGGUAAAAGUCAAGCUUUAUAAACUUUGACCAAGUUUAUAAAAAUUAUAUUAACAUAAGAAAUAACAAAUCAAUAAAAUUAGAUUUAUUAUUGAAGGUACUUUCACACCAUAUAGAUUUGUUAUGAUAAAUAUUUACACUAUUUUUUAUAAACUUGGUCAAACUUUAUGAAAUUUGACUUCAGUCAACUCUAAUAUGCAGAGUAAAUAAAAAUGGAGGGAGUACUCUAGACAUGAAUACUUCUGUUUCAAAAUUUCAAACGAAGCGCCAAAAGAGCCUCUACUCGCCCGAAACCGCGUGAGACCAAUGUUUGGUGGAAGGAAAUUACUUUAAUAACUCUGACCUGUGAAACCUACCGGCCUGACGUCCAAAGGUCUAAACCAGGAUAGGUUUGUAGCUUCAUCUGGACAUCACACAACCGCCUCCGAAAAACAUUCAUACAUAAUGGCUGCCUAAGCACACAUGUGCGCAGCUGAAAUCGCUCCCGCACACUAUUUGGACACCUGGGAUUACCAUCCUACCCACAACCCGCAGUAGGUCCAAAAUUUAAGAGGGGGGCAAAGUUUGUACUUUUCGCGCGUCCCAUCUGUUCGAAAUAACCAAAAACAAGAGCGUCCCAAACCGAAACAUGGUUCUCCCUUAGCUUCCCCCGCCCCCGCCCCUUGUCUGAUUCCUCAUUCGUACACGUGGGCGCCAAAACUACCUCUCCACUAGCCGUGAAAUCCCAGCGUCCUCCGUUCGCCACCCUAUCCCAGCCAUCAACCACCGACCUCCAUCACGCCGGAGCCGAUACCCUGACAUCGUCGUCCACCGCAACUGCAACCGCAACACCCUCCACAGCUAGUUGUUGAAGCCGAGGCCGAGUUGUCCAUACCCGAGCUAGUUCAACUACUGCCGCUCCAACUUUGCCACCGUCCACCGCACCGGAGCUGUUCUCGCUACACCAUCCUUCGGCGCCUCGGAUCUACUUCCCCUCCGUUGACAGACGACCACCGAAACACAGUCAACAAUUUGGCCAUGGGUUCGUCCAAGGCUCGACCCUCCUCCAAAACAUCGGUUUCCCAGGUAAAACAAAUAAAAUCGCCGCGACAUCCAAAGGACCCAGCACUGGCAACCGAAAAUGGUACUCCUCUUCCCUUAUUCGUGCAAAUCUUAUGUGUCUACUUGCAUGGUAUUCAUCCCACAAAAGACACUAGUUGACCACUUCUUCCUCAUACUAGAUGUUCCUAGUAACUCGCGAUGCACAAGGUUUCUCCUCAUAUACUAUUUCACCUUAGCUAGAGGUCUGUCGCCCUGCUGGAUUUCAAUUCUUGGUCAGUUGAUUCCCAAUUAAAGGAAGCAUUCCCUGGCGUAACAGGCGCUAGUCCGCAUAUUAUGCCAGGGAAGCAGCACCUCGGUGUUUAUCUUAGGGGUGUGUGGGGCCUAGAGCUGCUAGCGCCUGAUUUGGAGGUCGGCCGGGAUUAAAGGGAUGAUCGGGGGGGCGCUUCCAAGCACGGCGGUGGUGUGAGGUUUAGGGGAGGGCGGGGCGACGGAGGCAGGGGUCUGGGCCGGUGGUCGCUAGCUAUUCCAGAAAGAUCGUCAAUAGUGACUGGCGGGAGGUAGACGAAGGCCAUCUGCCCGUUCCUUAUAGAUCGGACGGUUCAUAAAAAAAUCGACUGACCUAUUUAUUUCUAGUUGACUGUUAUUUUGAUAGGACCACAUGUGGUGGUGUGCUGGAGGAGUACCUGCAUUUCCUGGCCAUCCCUGUGCUCAUAUAUUACAAAAUCAUAUGGAGUAGAAUCUAAUUUUGUUUGCCAUGCAAUGUUGUAGAGCUAUCAUAUGUCUCCUGCCAUUUAUUUUUCAGUCACCUUCUAUCUGCUACUUUUACAGUGCACUAGUUCUGCACACACUUCACCCAUACUCUCACUAUUGUGUUUUUAUGCAAGGGUAUUUCAGACUCUGCCUUGACAGAAACAGAAAAGAAAAGAGAGAAGUCGCUCCUACUUGCUUCGGGCUUAGGCAAGAUAGGUUUCAACGCUAUAAAGGGUGCAGUGUGAGUAGAUGGAGACGGUAAACGUAGCUUUGGAGUUGAUGAUCUCGCUCGCCCUGAACCACCAUCCCAGGUGCUUGCUUUAACUUCAUGGUGUCAAUGUGGUUGCAUGUUGCAUAUGGUGUCUAGCUUGUAUUCGAAAGGCCGGAGUCGGUCUUUAUUAAGAUAAGGAAAGAUAUUUUUACAUGAACCACCAUCCCGGGAGCAUCAGAAGACAAAUAGCUAGUCAGGGCACUGGCCGAGCCAGUGACAAGCCCAACACAGACAGGCAUCACAUGGAAGCCAACUAAAAAGCCACGAUGGUGGUGAAGCAGCCCGCCUCCCACCAGGCUCUCAGGUCCUAGAUGAUCAUGCUCACCACUCCAGCCGGAUGUCUAUCUUGUAUUGCUUCCAAUUAAGUUAAAUUGCAUAUGCUUAGCUUACACAUUAUACCUUUGAAUAUGACAUGCCUUCCUGUUUUUGGUAGAUACUAGUACAUCUGUCUAUUGACCAUGUUCUUACAUCAAACUAAUGUUUUUGUGUAUCCUCAUCAAUCACUUAUGAUGAUGCAGUCAGGCCAGUGGACUACUACGAGAAAAGAUCAUCAUUUAAAGAAUACAGCGUCAGCCUCCCCACAUGAUUCUCAAGAAACAACAUGGCUAGAUGAAGAUAGUGAACGUAGCUCUGUAGUUGAUUACCGCGCUUCCCCUACACUAGCAUCGCAGGUGCUAGCUCUACCUUGACAGCGUGAUAUGUGGUUGCAUGUUGCAUAUGGUGUCUAGAGUAUAAUUCUUCAAAUCUGGUUAAAUUGCAUGUGCUGUUCUGCUUACUUUAUACAUUAUACCUAUUAAGGUGACAUGCCUUCCUGUUUUUAGUACAUAGUACAUCUGUCUAUUAAGCAUGUCCUUACAUAAAACUAUUGUUUUUUGUAUCCCUCAUCAAUUAAUAUGACGAGACACCUUUAGUAUAUGUAGUGCAAUAUUAGUUGCAUCUUUCAUAUGAUUUAUAGCAUGUGCUGCUUCUAAUUUGUUGAAAUGCCAUUUAUGAUGGGACGAUUUUAACUUGACAGAGUCAUAUUGGUUGCAUCUUUCAUGUGGUGUCUAGCUUGCAUUGCUUCUUAUUUAUUGAAAUGGCUUCUGCUUAGUUUACACAAACAGUUGUGAAUAUGCCAUGACGUCCUAUUUUUCAUACAUAUUCCAUCCUGGUAUCAUGUGUUUGCCUCACAUCCAAGUAGUUAUUGUCAGUAUCAUGCAUGAAUGACUUCUGAAGAGUGAAUUUUAUUGAUUUUUCUUGUCGGUUUUACUUGACAAUUCAAAAUCAAUAAAGCGGAAGGAAAUUAGCAAGGCAGUGGAUAAAGGUGCUCCUUCUAAACAGAGGGCCUCUACAGAUUCUACUCCGCCACCCCCAAGAAGAUUUGGAAGACAACACAUGCAUAGACACUCAAUGUAGCUAUGUUGAUGAUGGGCAUGUCUCCCCUAGUGCACCAUCACAGGUGCUCCCUCUAACUUGGCACUAUUAUAUGUGGUUGCAUGUUAUGUAUGAUGUCUAGCUUGUGUUGCUUCUAAUUUUGUUGAAUUCCAUCUGCUUACUUUACACAUUAUACUAGUGAAUUAGACACGUGUUCCUAUUUCUAAAACAUACAAUAUCUGUCUAUCACACCAUGUUCUUACAUCAAAGCACUACUGUUGUGUAACCUGCAAUAAUCACAUAUCAUAAGACACGUUUGACUUGGGAGUGUGAUAUAGGUUACAUCUCGCAUUCUUUUCUAGCUUGUACUACUUCUAAUUUGUUUAAAUGGCACUUAUGACGAGACAGUUUUAACUUGGUAGAGUGAUAUUUGUUGCAUCUUUCAUAUGGUGUGUAGCUUUCAUUGCUUCUAAUUUGUUGAAAUGCCUUCUGAUUAGUUUACACAUUAUAGCUGUGAAUAUGCAAUGUUGUCCUUUUUCUUACACAUUCAAUCAUCCUAUCAUGUGGUCGCCUUACAUUAAAGUAGUGCUCGUCAGCAUCCUGCAUCAAUGAGUUCCGAAAAGCAAUUUUUUAUUUAUUUUUCUUGUGGGUUUGACUUGACAAGGCAAUGCAAUUAAGAAAAAGGAAGGAAAAAUAAGGCAGGGACUGAUGGCGGUCUUCCGGUGAAACCGGCAUCCAAGGUGAUUCUCUAGCUUGGCAGUGUGAUAUUGUCUUACAUGUUGCAUACGGUGUCUCACUUGUAUUGCAUGUAAUUUGAUUAAAUUACUUCUUCUUAGCUUACAAAAUUAGUUGUGAAUAUGCCAUGUCGUCCUGUUUUUCAUACAUAUUCCAUCCUCAUAUCAUACCUGUUCCUGUUUCUAGAACAUACAAUAUCUGUCUAUCACAGCAUGUUCUUACAUCAAAGUACUACGGCUGUGUAACCUGCAACAAUCACUUUUCACAAGGCACGUUUAACUUGGGAGUCUGAUAUAGUUUACAUCUCGCAUUAUUUUCUAGCUUGUACUACUAAUUUGCUGAAAUGGCACUAAUGACGAGAUAGUCUUAACUUGGUAGAGUGAUAUUCGUUGCAUCUUACAUAUGGUGUAUAGCUUUCAUUGCUUCUAAUUUGUUGAAAUGCCUUCUGCUUAGUUUACACAUCAUAAGCUGUGGAUAUGCAAUGGAACUAAUGACAAGAGUCCUUUAACUUGGUAGUGUGAUGUUGUUUGCAUCUUGCAUAUGAUUUAUUUCUUGUUCUGCUUCACAUUUGUUUAAAUGCCAGUUAUGACGAGACACUGUUAACUUGGCAGAGCGAUAUUUGUAGAAUCUUUCAUAUGGUGUCUACCUUCGAUUGCAUUGCUUCUAAUUUAUUGAAAUGCCUUCUGCUUAGUUUACUCAUCAUAGUUCUGAUUAUCUCAUGAUGUCUUGUUUUUUGUACAUAUUAGAUCCUCCUAUCACAUGGUUGUCUAACAUCAAAGUUCGGUUCGUCUGUAUCACGCAUCAAUUUGUUCUGAAGAACUAAAUUUUUAUUCCUUUUUCUUGUCGGCUUGACUUAACAUGGCAUAGAGAAAGAGGAAGGAAGACGAAAUGACAUGGGAUGGUGUUAGUACUAAGGACACACGGAAAGAGAAGCGGGCGAAUAAUGCAGAUUCUGGUGGUACUGAUGGUGCAAUAGAAGGUCAAAAUCCAGCGAAAAAUUGUACAAACGCGAUAUCCCGUGCUACACGAGUUGCAAAACUAGCUAAACAAAAACAAAUAGCUGCCACCAAACAACGAGAGACGAUCCUAGUUGUUGCAACACCUUCCAUAGUACCACCAGCUGCACGAGUUACUCGUGCGUCAACUGAGCUAGCAGCACGUUCCCAAGCUCCCUUGCCACCUGACACUACUUCCAAAGCACUCUUGACACAAGAUGAGUUGGCAAGAUUAGAUGAACCUUGUGAGCUUCAACAACUAGAAGGUAGUUGUUGGAGUCAAGUUAUAGUUGCAUGCUUCUUUAUAUGUAAUCUCACAGUUUGAUGUACCCUAACACUUCCUAUGUUCGUUGUUGCACUAGCACCUAGGCGCAAGAGGAAACAAACAUCAGGGAUAAUGCUCGAUAGGUUAACUAAAUCUCGAGGAGGAAGAAUGGAGAUCCAUUUUGAGGCAGGUUUAAAAAGGCCACGUGAUGCUACAGAGUCAACCAAGUUAGUAUCAAAGGCAGCGGUUGCCUUUGAAGGAAAUAUGCCCUAGAGGCAAUAAUAAAGUUAUUAUUUAUUUCCUUAUUUCAUGAUAAAUGUUUAUUAUUCAUGCUAGAAUUGUAUUAACCGGAAACAUGAUACAUGUGUGAAUACAUAGACAAACAUAUAGUCACUAGUAUGCCUCUACUUGACUAGCUCAUUAAUCAAAGAUGGUUAUGUUUCCUAACCAUAGACAUGUGUUGUCAUUUGAUUAAUGGGAUCGCAUCAUUAGGAGAAUGAUGUGAUUGACAUGACCCAUUCCGUUAGCCUAGCACUUGAUCGUUUAGUAUGUUGCUAUUGCUUUCUUCAUGACUUAUACAUGUUCCUGUAACUAUGAGAUUAUGCAACUCCCGUUUACCGGAGGAACACUUUGGGUGCUACCAAACGUCACAAUGUAACUGGGUGAUUAUAAAGGAGUACUACAGGUGUCUCCGAAGGUACAUGUUGGGUUGGCGUAUUUCGAGAUUAGGUUUUGUCACUCCGAUUGUCGGAGAGGUAUCUCUGGGCCCUCUCGGUAAUGCACAUCACUAUAAGCCUUGCAAGCAAUGUAGCUAAUGAGUUAGUUACGGAAUGAUGCAUUACGUAACGAGUAAAGAGACUUGCCGGUAACGAGAUUGAACUAAGGUAUUGGAUACCGACGAUCGAAUCUCGGGCAAGUAACAUACCGUUGACAAAGGGAACAAAGUAUGUUGUUAUGCGGUUUGACCGAUAAAGAUCUUCGUAGAAUAUGUAGGAGCCAAUAUGGGCAUCCAGGUUCCGCUAUUGGUUAUUGACCAAGAAUAGUUCUAGUCAUGUCUACAUAGUUCUCGAACCCGUAGGGUCCGCACGCUUAAGGUUUCGAUGACAGUUAUAUUAUGAGUUUAUGAGUUUUGAUGUACCGAAGGAGUUCGGAGUCCCGGAUGAGAUCGGGGACAUGACGAGGAGUCUCGAAAUGGUCGAGACGUAAAGAUCGAUAUAUUGGACGAUUAUAUUCGGUGUUCAGAAAGGUUCCGAGUGAUUCGGGUAUUUUUUGGAGUACCGCAGAGUUACGGGAAUUCGCCGGGGAGUAUAUGGGCCUUAUUGGGCCAUACGGGAAUUGAGGAGAGAGGCCGAAAGGAAGGAGGCGCGCAGCCCCCCUCUGGUCCGAAUUGGACAAGGGGGCAGCCCCCUUUUCCUUCUCCCUCUCCUCCUCUUUUCUUCUCCAACAAGGAAAGGAGGAGUCCUACUCCCGAUGGGAGUAGGACUCCCCCCUUGGCACGCCUCCUCCAUAGGCCGGCCGCCUCCCCCCUUGCUCCUAUAUAUAUGAGGGCAGGGGGCAUCCCAAGGAUACAACAACAAUUGAUCCUUGAGAUCUAUUAGCCGUGUGCGGUGCCCCCCUCCACCAUAGUCCUCCUCGAUAAUAUUGUAGCGGUGCUUAGGCGAAGCCCUGUGACGGUAGAACAUCAAGAUCGUGACCACGCCGUCAUGCUAACGGAACUUUCCCUCGACACUCAGCUGGAUCGGAGUUUGAGGGACGUCAUCGAGCUGAACAUGUGUUAGAACUCGGAGGUGCCAUAGUUUCGGUGCUUGAUCGGUCGGGCCGUGAAGACGUACGACUACAUCAACGGCGUUGUUCUAACGCUUCCGCUUUCGGUCUACAAGGGUAUGUAGAUUACACUCUCCCCUCUCAUUGCUAUGCAUCACCAUGAUCUUGCGUGUACGUAGGAAUUUUUUUGAAAUUACUGCGUUCCCCAACAGUGGCAUCCGAGCCAGGUUUUAUGCGUUGAUGUUAUAUGCACGAGUAGAACACAAGUGAGUUAUGGGCGAUACAAGUCAUACUGCUUACCAGCAUGUCAUACUUUGGUUCGGCGGUAUUGUGAGAUGAAGCGUCCCGGACCGACAUUACGCGUACGCUUAUGCGAGACUGGUUUCACUGUUACGAGCACUUGUGCUUAAAGGUGGAUGGCGGGUGUCUGUCUCUCUCACUUUAGCUGAAUCAAGUGUGGCUACGCCCGAUCCUUGCGAAGGUUAAAACAACACUAACUUGACGAACUAUCGUUGUGGUUUUGAUGCGUAGGUAAGAACGGUUCUUGCUAAGCCCGUAGCAGCCCCGUAAAAUUUGCAGCAACAAAGUAGAGGACGUCUAACUUGUUUUUGCAGGGCAUGUUGUGAUGUGAUAUGGUCAAGACGUGAUGCUAUAUUUUAUUGUAUGAGAUGAUCAUGUUUUGUAACCGAAGUUAUCGGCAACUGGCAGGAACCAUAUGGUUGUCGCUUUAUUGUAUGAAAUGCAAAUGCCCUGUAAUUGCUUUACUUUAUCACUAAGCGGUAGCGAUAGUCGUAGAAGCAAUAGAUGGCGUAACGACAACGAUGCUACGAUGGAGAUCAAGGUGUCGCGCCGGUGACGAUGGUGAUCACGACGGUGCUUCGAAGAUGGAGAUCACAAGCACAAGAUGAUGAUGGCCAUAUCAUAUCACUUAUAUUGAUUGCAUGUGAUGUUUAUCCUUUAUGCAUCUUAUCUUGCUUUGAUUGACGAUAGCAUUAUAAGAUGAUCUCUCACUAAUUAUCAAUAAGUGUUCUCCCUGAGUAUGCACCGUUGGGAAAGUUCUUCGUGCUGAGACACCACGUGAUGAUCGGGUGUGAUAGGCUCUAUGUUCAAAUACAACGGGUGCAAAACAGUUGCACACGCGGAAUACUCAGGUUAAACUUGACGAGCCUAGCAUAUACAGAUAUGGCCUCGGAACACGGAGACCGAAAGGUCGAGCGUGAAUCAUAUAGUAGAUAUGAUCAACAUAUUGAUGUUCACCAUUGAAACUACUCCAUCUCACGUGAUUAUCGGACAUGGUGUAGUUGAUAUGGAUCACGUAAUCACUUAGAGGAUUAGAGGGAUGUCUAUCUAAGUGGGAGUUCUUAAGUAAUAUGAUUAAUUGAACUUAAAUUUAUCAUGAACUUAGUCCUGGUAGUAUUUUGCAAAUUAUGUUGUAGAUCAAUAGCUUGCGUUGUUGCUUUCAUAUGUUUAUUUUCAUAUGUUCCUAGAGAAAAUUGUGUUGAAAGAUGUUAGUAGCAAUGAUGCAGAUUGGAUCCGUGAUCUGAGGUUUAUCCUCAUUGCUGCACAGAAGAAUUAUGUCCUUGAUGCACCGCUAGGUGACAAACCUAUUGCAGGAGCAGAUGCAGACAUUAUGAAUGUUUGGCUAGCUCAAAAUGAUGACUACUUGAUAGUUUAGUGCACCAUGCUUAAAUGGCUUAGAAUCGGGACUUCAAAGACGUUUUGAACAUCAUGGACCAUAUGAGAUGUUCCAGGAGUUGAAGUUAAUAUUUCAAGCAAAUAUCCGAGUUGAGAGAUAUGAAGUCUCCAACAAGUUCUAUAGCUAAAAGAUGGAGGAGAAUCGCUCAACUAGUGAGCAUGUGCUCAGAUUGUCUGGGUACUACAAUCGCUUGAAUCAAGUGGGAGUUAAUCUUCCAGAUAAAAUAGUGAUCGACAGAAUUCUCUAGUCACCACCACCAAGUUUGUAGAACUUUGUGAUGAACUAUAGUAUGCAAGGGAUGACGAAAACGAUUCCCGAUCUCUUCGUGAUGUUGAAAUCGACGAAGGUAGAAAUCAAGAAAGAGCAUCAAGUGUUGAUGGUUGACAAGAUCACUAGUUUCAAGAAAAGGGCAAAGGGAAAGAAAGGGAACUUCAAGUAGAAUGGCAAGCAAGUUGUCACUCCCACGAAGAAGCCCAAAGCUGAACCAAAGCCUGAAACUGAGUGCUUACACUGCAAAGGAAAUGGUCACUGGAAGCGGAAAUGCCCUGAAUAUUUGGUGGAUAAGAAGGAUGGCAAAGUGAACAAGGGUAUAUUUGAUAUACAUGUUAUUGAUGUGUGCCUUACUAGUGUUUAUAGUAGCCCUUGAGUAUUUGAUACUUGUUCAAUUGCUAAGAUUAGUAACUCGAAACAGGAGUUACAGAAUAGACAGAGACUAGUUGAAGGGUGGAGUGAUGAUGAGUGUUGGAAGUAGUUCCAAGAUUGAUAUGAUCAUCAUCGCACACUCCCUAUACUUUCGGGAUUAGUGUUAAACCUAAAUAAAUGUUAUUUGGCAUUUGCAUUGAGCAUGAAUAUGAUUUGAUCAUGUUUAUUGCGAUACGAUUAUUCAUUUAAAGUUAGAGAAUAAAUUGUUAUUCUGUUUACAUGAAUAAGACCUUUGAAGGUCAUACACCCAAUGAACAUAGUUUGUUGGAUCCCGAUCGUAGUGAUACACAUAUUCAUAAUAUUAAUGCCAAAAGAUGAAAAGUUAAUAAUGAUAGUGCAACUUAUUUGUGGCACUGCCGUUUGGGUCAUAUCGGUGUAAAGUGCAUGAAGAAACUCCAUAAAGAUGGAUUUUCGGAAUCACUUGAUUAUGAAUCAUUUGAUGCUUGCGAACCGUGCCUUUUGGGCAAGAUGACUAAAACUCCGUUCUCCGGAACAAUUGAACGAGCUAGUGACUUAUUGGAAAUAAUACAUACCGAUGUAUACGGUCCAAUGAGUGUUGAUGCUCGUGGCGGGUAUCAUUAUUUUUUGAUCUUCACAAAAUGAAUUGAGCAGAUAUGAGUAUAUCUACUUAAUGAAGCACAAGUCUGAAACAUUUGAAAAGUUCAAAGAAUUUCAGAGUGAAGUGGAGAAUCAUCGUAACAAGAAAAUUAAGUUUCUGCAAUUUGAUCGCGGAGACAAAUAUUUGAGUUACGAGUUUGGUCUUCAAUUAAAACAAUGUGGAAUAGUUUCACAAACUCAUGCCACCUGGAACACCACAGCUUAAUGGUGUGUCCGAACGUCAUAACAAGUACUUUAUUGGAUAUAGUGCAAUCUAUGAUGUCUCUUACCGAUUUACCACUAUCGUUUUGGGGUUAUGCAUUAGAAACAACUGCAUUCAUGUUUAAUAGGGCACCAUCUAAAUCCGUUGAUACGACACGGUAUGAACUAUGGUUUAGCAGUAAACCUAAGUUGUCGUUUCUUAAAGUUUGGAGUUGCGAUGCUUAUGUGAAAAAGUUUCAACCUGAUAAGCUCGAACCCAAAUCGGAGAAGUGCGUCUUCAUAGAAUACCCAAAGGAAACUGUUGGGUACACCUUCUAUCACAGAUCCGAAGGCAAAUUAUUCGUUGCUAAGAUGGAUCCUUUCUAGAGAAGAAGUUUCUCUCGAAAUAAGUGAGUGGGGGGAAAGUAGAACUUGAUGAGGUAAUUGUACCUUCUCUCUUAUUGGAAAGUAGUUCAUCACAGAAAUCAGUUCCAGUGAUUCCUACACCAAUUAGUGAGGAAGUUAAUGAUGAUGAUCAUGAAACUUCAGAUCAAGUUGCUACCAAACCUCGUAGGUCUUCCAGAGUAAGAUCCGCACCAGAGUGGUACGGUGAUAAUGUUCUGGAAGUCAUGUUACUAGACCAUGAUGAACCUACGAACUAUGAGGAAGCGAUGAUGAGCCCAGAUUCCGCAAAAUGGCUUGAGGCCAUGAGAUCUGAGAUAAGAUCCAUGUAUGAAAACAAAGUAUGGACUUUGAUUGACUUGUCCAAUGAUCGGCGAGACAUUGAGAUUAAAUGGAUCUUCAAGAGGAAGACGGGCGCUGAUAGUGUUACUAUCUACAAAGCUAGAAUUGUCACAAAAGGUUUUCGACAAGUUCAAGGUGUUGACUACGAUGAGAGUUUUUCACUCGUAUCUAUGCUUAAGUCUAUCUGAAUCAUGUUAGCAAUUGCCGCAUUUUAUGAAAUCUGGCAAAUGGAUAAACAAAACUGCAUUCCUUAAUGGUUUUCUUAAAGAAGAGUUGUAUAUGAUGCAACCAGAAGGUUUUGUCAAUCCUAAAGGUGCUAACAAAUUGUGCAAGCUCCAGCGAUCCAUCUAUGGACUGGUGCAAGCAUCUUGGAGUUGGAAUAUAUGCUUUGAUGAGUUGAUCAAAGCAUAUGGUUUUAUACAGACUUUUGAAGAAGCCUGUAUUUACAAGAAAGUGAGUGGGAGCGCUGUAGCAUUUCUAAUAUUAUAUGUGGAUGACAUAUUGUUAAUUGGAAAUGAUAUGGAAAUUCUGGAUAGCAUGAAAGGAUACUUGAAUAAGAGUUUUUCAAAGCAAGACCUCGGUGAAGCUGCUUACACAUUGAGCAUCAAGAUCUAUAUAGAUAGAUCAAGACGCUUGAUAAGAUUUUUCAAUGAGUACAUACCUUGAUAAAUUUUUGAAAUAGUUCAAAAUGGAAUAGUCAAAGAAAGGAGUUCUCGCCUGUGUUACAAGGUGUGAAGUUGAGUAAGACUCAAGACCCGACCAUUGCAGAAAAUAGAAAGAGAAUGAAAAGUCAUUCCCUAUGCCUCAGUCAUAGGUUCUAUAAAGUAUGCUAUGCUGUGAAUAGACCUAUUGUAUACCUUGCUCUGUGUUUGGCAAAGGAAUACAAUUUUGAUCUAAUAAGUAGAUCACUGGACAUGGGUCAAGAAUAUCCUUAGUGAGGACUAAGGAGAUGUUUCUCGAUUAUGGAGGUGAUAAAAGAGCCCGUCGUAAAAGUUACAACGAUGCAAGCUUUUACACCAAUCCAGAUGACUCUAAGUCUCAAUCUGGAUACAUAUUAAAAGUGGGAGCAAUUAGCUAGAGUAGCUCCGUGCAGAGCAUUGUGGACAUAGAAUAUUUGCGAAAUACAUACGACUCUGAAUAUGACAGACCCGUUGACUAAGCUUCUCUCAUGAGCAAAACAUGAUCAUACCUUAGUACUCUUCUGGGUGUUAAUCACAUAGCGAUGUGAACUAGAUUAUUGACUCUAGUAAACCCUUUGGGUGUUGAUCACAUGAUGAUGUGAACUAUGGGUAUUAAUCACAUGCAGAUGUGAAUAUUGGUGUUAAAUCACAUAGCGAUGUGAACUAGAUUAUUGACUCUAGUGCAAGUGGGAGACUGAAGGAAAUAUGCCCUAGAGGCAAUAAUAAAGUUAUUAUUUAUUUCCUUAUUUCAUGAUAAAUGUUUAUUAUUCAUGCUAGAAUUGUAUUAACCGGAAACAUGAUACAUGUGUGAAUACAUAGACAAACAUAUAGUCACUAGUAUGCCUCUACUUGACUAGCUCAUUAAUCAAAGAUGGUUAUGUUUCCUAACCAUAGACAUGUGUUGUCAUUUGAUUAAUGGGAUCGCAUCAUUAGGAGAAUGAUGUGAUUGACAUGACCCAUUCUGUUAGCCUAGCACUUGAUCAUUUAGUAUGUUGCUAUUGCUUUCUUCAUGACUUAUACAUGUUCCUGUAACUAUGAGAUUAUGCAACUCCCAUUUACCGGAGGAACACUUUGGGUGCUACCAAACGUCACAACGUAACUGGGUGAUUAUAAAGGAGUACUACAGGUGUCUCCGAAGGUACAUGUUGGGUUGGCGUAUUUCGAGAUUAGGUUUUGUCACUCCGAUUGUCGGAGAGGUAUCUCUGGGCCCUCUCGGUAAUGCACAUCACUAUAAGCCUUGCAAGCAAUGUAGCUAAUGAGUUAGUUACAGAAUGAUGCAUUACGUAACGAGUAAAGAGACUUGCCGGUAACGAGAUUGAACUAAGGUAUUGGAUACCGACGAUCGAAUCUCGGGCAAGUAACAUACCGAUGACAAAGGGAACAAAGUAUGUUGUUAUGCGGUUUGACCGAUAAAGAUCUUCGUAGAAUAUGUAGGAGCCAAUAUGGGCAUCCAGGUUCUGCUAUUGGUUAUUGACCAAGAAUAGUUCUAGGUCAUGUCUACAUAGUUCUUGAACCCGUAGGGUCCGCACGCUUAAGGUUUCGAUGACAGUUAUAUUAUGAGUUUAUGAGUUUUGAUGUACCGAAGGAGUUCGGAGUCCCGGAUGAGAUCGGGGACAUGACGAGGAGUCUCGAAAUGGUCGAGACGUAAAGAUCGAUAUAUUGGACGACUAUAUUCGGAGUUCAGAAAGAUUUCGAGUGAUUCGGGCAUUUUUCGAAGUACCGGAGAGUUACGGGAAUUCGCCGGGGAGUAUAUGGGCCUUAUUGGGCCAUACGGGAAUUGAGGAGAGAGGCCAAAAGGAAGGAGGCGUGCAGCCCCCCUCUGGUCCGAAUUGGACAAGGGGGGCAGCCCCCUUUUCCUUCUCCCUCUCCUCCUCUUUUCUUCUCCAACAAGGAAAGGAGGAGUCCUACUCCCGGUGGGAGUAGGACUCCCCCCUUGGCACGCCUCCUCCGUAGGCCGGCCGCCUCCCCUCUUGCUCCUAUAUAUAUGAGGGCAGGGGGCACCCCAAGGAUACAACAACAAUUGAUCCUUGAGAUCUAUUAGCCGUGUGCGGUGCCCCCCUCCACCAUAGUCCUCCUCGAUAAUAUUAUAGCGGUGCUUAGGCGAAGCCCUGCGACGGUAGAACAUCAAGAUCGUCACCACGCCGUCGUGCUGACGAAACUCUCCCUCGACACUCGGCUGGAUCGGAGUUUGAGGGACGUCAUCGAGCUGAACGUGUGCUAGAACUCGGAGGUGCCGUAGUUUCGGUGCUUGAUCGGUCGGGCCGUGAAGAUGUACGACUACAUCAACCGCGUUGUUCUAACGCUUCCGCUUUCGGUCUACAAGGGUAUGUAGAUUACACUCUCCCCUCUCAUUGCUAUGCAUCACCAUGAUCUUGCGUGUACGUAGGAUUUUUUUUUGAAAUUACUGCGUUCCCCAACAGCCUUAGGUGUCAUGCACGUAUCCUCCCAACAUGGAUUCAGUACAGGAAUGACAAAGACGAAACCCAUUUCAACACCUUCCUCGACCAUUUAUCUGUAAGUAUGGUUAUUGUGACGCCCCUGAUUCAAUCGUACACUAAUCAUGCACACAAAUGUGUACGGUCUAGAUCAGGGACUAACGGGCAGAUAUCACAACACAACUCUAAAAGUACAGUAAGUCAUACAAGCAUCAUAUACAAGCCAGGGGCCUCGAUGGCUCGAAUACAAGUGCUCAAACAUAAAUGAGUCAGCGUAAGCAUCAGUAUCUGAGUACACACAUAAGUUAAACAAGUUGCCAUUAGAUGGCUAGCACAAACUGGGAUACAGGUCGAAAGAGGCGCAAGCCUCCUGCCUGGGAUCCUCCUAAACUACUCCUGGUCGUCGUUAGCGGCCUACACGUAGAAGUAGGCACCUCCAGUGUAGUAGGAGUCGUCGUCGACGGUGGCGUCUGGCUCCUGGGAUCCAACGUCUGGUUGCGGCAUCUGAGAAGAAGAGGGAAAAGGGGGAAAAGAGGGAGCAAAGUAACCGUGAGUACUCAUCCAAAGUACUCGCAAGCAAGGAUCUACACUACAUAUGCAUGGGUAUAUGUGUAAAGAGGCAAUAUCGGUGGACUGAACUGCAGAAUGCCAGAAUAAGAGGGGGAUAGCUAGUCCUAUCAAAUACUAUGCUUCUGGCAGCCUCCAUCUUGCAGCAUGUAGAAGAGAGUAGAUUGAAGUCCACCAGGUAUCAUUGCAUAGCAUAAUCCUACCCGGCGAUCCUCCCCUUGUCGCCCUGUGGGAAAGCGAUCACUAGAUUGUCUCUGGAACUUGUGUGGGUGUGUUUUAUUAAGUAUCCAGUUCUAGUUGUCAUAAGGUCAAGGUACAACUCCGGGUUGUCCUUUUACCGAGGGACAUGGCUAUUCGAAUAGAUAAACUUCCCUGCAGGGGUGCACCACAUUUCCCAACAUGCUCGAUCCCUCUGGCCGGACACACUUUCCUGGGUCAUGCCCGGCCUCAGAAGAUCAACACGUCACAACCCAACCUAGGCACAACAGAGAGGUCAGCACGCCGGUCUAAAUCCUAUGCGUGCAGGGGUCUGGGCCCAUCGCCCAUUGCACACUUGCAUGUUGCGAGGGCGGCCGGAAGCAGACCUAGCCUCCCUAAUACAAGAGCAGGCGUUCCAGUCCAAUAUGGCGUGCGCCACUCAGUCGCUGACGUCAAGAAGGCUUCAGCUGAUACCAUGACGUCGAGUGCCCAUAACUGUUCCCGCAAAGUUCGUUAGUGCAUAUAGGCCAGUGGCCAGACUCAGAUCAAAUACCAGGAUCUCGUUAAGCGUGUUAUUUUGAAGUAACCGCGGACACCGGCCAGGGCCAGGCCCACCUCUCACCUAGGUGGUCUCAACCUGCCUUGUCGCUCCGCCACAAAGAUCCGCACAGAGGGCCGUCGGGACAAAUGUCCUUUCAGCCCCCAAUCCGUGAAUCACUCGCGGGUACUCUACGAGCCGACCCGACUUUAGUCACCAUAUGUAUAGUAUGUAUGUAUGUAUAGUAUAAACCCGUGAUCACGACCCGAUAGUAUAGCAAGGCAGACGGACAAAAAUGUAGGGCCACAGAUGAUAAACUAGCAUCCUAUACUAAGCAUUUAGGAUUGCAGGUAAGGUACCAACAAGUGUAGCAACAAUUACAGGCUAUGCAAUAGAAUAGGAUUAACCGAACAGUAACAUGCUACACUACUCUAAUGCAAGCAGUAGAGGGAACAAUAGGCGAUAUUUGGUGAUCAAGGGGGGGCUUGCAUGGUUGCUCUGGCAAGAGGGAGGGGUCGUCAACUCCGUAGUCGAACGGGGCAGCAGCAACGUCGGUCUCGUAGUCUACCGAAGAGAAGAGGGGGAAGAAACAAUAAAUAUAAUGCAAACAUAAGCAUGACGAUGCAAAACAUGACAAUGAGCGGUGCUAGGUGUGCCCUAACGCGAUAGAAGGUGAUACCGGUGAAGGGGGGAAACAUCCAGGAAAGUAUCCCCGGUGUUUCGCAUUUUCGGACAGAUGAACCGGAGGUGAAAUCUUGCAUGUUCGCUAUGCUAGGGACGUGUGGUUGAUACGUCUCCAACGUAUCUAUAAUUUUUGAUUGCUCCAUGCUACUUUAUCUACUGUUUUGGACUAUAUUGGGCUUUAUUUUCCACUGUUAUAUUAUUUUUGGGACUAACCUAUUAACCGGAGGCCCAGCCCAGAAUUGCUGUUUUUUGCCUAUUUCAGUGUUUCGAAGAAACGGUAUAUCAAACGGAGUCCAAACGGAAUGAAACCUUUGGGAAUGUGAUUUUCUCACCGAAUGUGAUCCAGGAGACUUGACCCUACUCCAAGAAGUGCCAGAGGCGGUCACGAGGGUGGAGGGCGCCCCCUGGGCGCGCCCCCUACCUUGUGGGCCCCCUGACGCUCCACCGACGUACUCCUUCCUCCUAUAUAUACCUACGUAUCCCCGAACGAUCAGAACAGGAGCCAAAAACCUAAUUCCACUGCCGCAACCUUCUGUAUCCACGAGAUCCCAUCUUGGGGCCUGUUCCGGAGCUCCGCCGGAGGGGGCAUCCACCAUAGAGGGCUUCUACAUCAACACCAUAGCCCCUCCGAUGAAGUGCGAGUAGUUUACUUCAGACCUUCGGGUCCAUAGCUAGUAGCUAGAUGGCUUCUUCUCUCCUUUUGGAUCUCAAUACAAUGUUCUCCCCCUCUCUCAUGGAGAUCUAUUCGAUGUAAUCUUCUUUUUGCGGUGUGUUUGUUGAGACCGAUGAAUUGUGGGUUUAUGAUCCAGUAUUAUCUAUGGAAAAUAUUUGAUUCUUCUCUGAAUUCUUUUAUGUAUGAUUGAGUUAUCUUUGCAAGUCUCUUCGAAUUAUCCUUUUUGGUUUAGCCAACUAGAUUGGUAGUUCUUGCAAUGGGAGAAGUGCUUAGCUUUAGGUUCAAUCUUGCAGUGUCCUUACCCAGUGACAGAAAGGGUUGCAAGGCACGUAUUGUAUUGUUGCCAUCAAGGAUAACAAGAUGGGGUUUUUAUCAUAUUGCAUGAAUUUAUCCCUCUACAUCAUGGCAUCUUGCUUAAGGCGUUACUCUGUUUUUAACUUAAUACUCUAGAUUCAUGCUAGAUAGCGGUCAAUGAGUGGAGUAAUAGUAGUAGAUGCAGAAUCGUUUCGAUCUACUUGUCUUGGACGUGAUGCCUAUAUACAUAAUCAUUGCCUAGAUAUGCUCAUAACUAUGCUCAAUUCUGUCAAUUGCUCAACAAUAAUUUGUUCACCCACCGUAGAAUACUUAUGCUCUUGAGAGAAGCCACUAGUGAAACCUAUGGCCCCCGGGUCUAUUCUCAUCAUAUCAAUCUCUAUCGCUUUAUUUACUUGCUUUGUUUUUACUUUGCCUUUUACUUUUUGCUUUGCAUCUAUCUAUCAAAAAUACCAAAAAUAUUAUUUAUCAUCUCUAUCAGAUCUCACUCUCGUAAGUGACCGUGAAGGGAUUGACAACCCCUAAUCGCGUUGGUUGCGAGUUGCUAUCGUUUUGUGUAGGUACGAGGAAUUUGUGCGUGGUCUCCUACUGGAUUGAUACCUUGGUUCUCAAAAACUGAGGGAAAUACUUACGCUACUUUGCUGCAUCAUCCUCUCCUCUUCGGGGAAAUCCAACGCAGUGCUCAAGAGGUAGCAAGAAGAAUUUCUGGCGCCGUUGCCGGGGAGGCUCACGCAAGCAAGUCAACCAUACCAAGUAGCCAUCGCAAUCCCUAUCUCUCGCAUUACAUUAUUUGCCAUUUGCCUCUCGUUUUCCUCUCCCCCACUUCACCCUUGCCAUUUUAUUCGCCCUCUCUUUCCCAAUCUCCUCUCUUUCCCGUUUGCCUUUUUCCCGUUGCCUUUCUGUUUGCUUGUGCGUUGGAUUACUUGUUGCCAUGGCACAAGACAAUACCAAAUUGUGUGAUUUCUCAAAUACCAAUAAUAAUGAUUUCCUUAGUACUCCGAUUGAUCCUCUUAAUAAUGAUGAGUCUUGUGAAAUCAAUACUGCUUUGCUGAAUCUUGUUAUGAAAGAUCAAUUCGCCGGCCUUCCUAGUGAAGAUGCCGCUACUCAUCUAAACAAUUUUGUUGAUUUGUGUGAUAUGCGAAAGAAGAAAUAUACGUAUAACAAUAUUGUCAAAUUGAAGUUAUUUCCGUUUCACUUAGAGAUCGUGCUAAAGUUUGGUUUUCAUCUUUACCUAAAAAUAGUAUUGAUUCUUGGAACAAGUGCAAAGAUGCUUUUAUCUAUAAGUAUUUUCCUCCCGCUAAGAUUAUCACUCUUCGGAACGAUAUCAUGAAUUUUAAACAACUUGAUCAUGAGCAUGUUGCCCAAUCUUGGGAAAGAAUGAAAUUAAUGCUUCGCAAUUACCCUACUCAUGGUUUGAAUUUAUGGAUGAUCAUACAAAAUUUUUAUGCCGGAUUGAAUUUUGCUUCUAGAAAUCUUUUAGAUUUGGCCGUGGGAGGCACGUUUAUGGAAAUUAAGUUAGGAGAUGCUACAAAAUUGCUUGAUAAUAUUAUGGCUAAUUAUUCUCAAUGGCACACCAAAAGAUCUUCUAGUAAAAAAGUGCAUGCUAUAGAAGAAAUCAAUGUUUUGAGUGAAAAGAUGGAUGAACUUAUGAAGAUGUUUGCUCCUAAAAAUACUCCUCUUGAUCCCAAUGAUAUGACUUUGUCUACUUUGCUUGAGAAUAAUAAUGAAUCUAUGGAUGUGAAUUUUGUUGGUAGGAAUUGUUUUGGAAACAACGCGUAUAGAGGGAAUUUUAAUCCUAGGCCUUAUCCUAGUAAUCCUUCUAAUAAUUAUGGAAAUUCCUACAACAACUCUUAUGGAAAUUUUAAUAAGAUGCCCUCUGAAUUUGAGAGUAGUGUUAAAGAGUUUAUGAAUUCACAAAAAAAAAUUAAUGCUUUGCUUAAAGAGAAAUUGCUUAAAGUUGAUGAUUUGGCUAGGAACGUUGAUAGAAUUUCUCUUGAAAUUGAUUCUUUAAAGCUUAGAUCUAUUCCUCCUAAGCAUGAUAUCAAUGAGUCUCUCAAAGCCAUGAGAAUUUCCAUUGAUGAGUGCAAAGAAAGAACCGCUAGGAUGCGUGCUUCCAAAGAUGCCUUUAUUAAAGCGUGUUCUUCCAAUUCCUAUGAAAAUCAAGAUGAAGAUCUAAAAGUUAUUGAUGUGUCCCCCAUUAAAUCCUUGUUUUGCAAUAUGAAUCUUGAUGAAACUGAAGAUUAUCUUCCCUUACCUAGAAGGCGUUUUAAGAAUUCAGAGUUUCUAGAUCUUGAUGAUGAAAUUGAUGAAAGUAGGAUAGAAAGAAAUAAAAACCUAGAUGUUGCUAAACCCACUAUUUUGGAUCUCAAGGAAUUUAAUUAUGAAAAUUGCUCUUUGAUUGGUUGUAUUUCCUUGUUUCAAUCUGUGCUAGAUUCUCCUCAUGCUUAUAGUUAAAAUAAGGUCUUUACCGAACACAUUGUUGAUGCCUUGAUGCAAUCUUAUGAAGAAAAACUUGAGUUGAAAGUUUCUAUCCCUGAAAUCUCUAUGAUGAGUGGGAACCUAGUAUUAAAAUUAAAAUUAAAGGUUAUGAGUUUCAUGCUUUGUGUGAUUUGCGUGCUAGUGUCUCUACUAUUCCCAAAGCUUUAUGUGAUUUGCUAGAUUUCCGCGAUUUUGAUGAUUGCUCUCUAAACUUGCAUCUUGCGGAUUCCACUGUUAAAAAACCUAUGGGAAGAAUUAAUGAUGUUCUUAUUGUUGCAAAUAGGAACUAUGUGCCUGUAGAUUUUAUUGUUCUUGAUAUAGAUUGCAAUCCUUCAUGUCCUAUUAUUCUUGGUAGACAUUUCCUUAGAGCGAUUGGUGCAAUUAUUGAUAUGAAGGAAGGGAAAAUUCGAUUCCAAUUUACCUUAAAUAAGGGCAUGGAACACUUCCCUAGAAAGAAAAUAAAAUUACCGUAUGAAUCUAUCAUGAGAGCCACUUAUGGAUUGCCUACCAAAGAUGGCAAUACCUAGAUCUAUCCUUGCUUUUAUGCCUAGCUAGGGGCGUUAAACGAUAGCGCUUGUUGGGAGGCAACCCAAUUUUAUUUUGUGUUUUUUGUUUUUCUUCUAGUUAGGAAUAAAUAAUCCAUCUAACUUCUGUUUGGAUGUGGUUUUAUCUUUUAAUUAGUGUUUGUGCCAAGUAGAACCUAUAGGAUAACCUACGAUGAUAGUUGAUUUGAUUCUGCUGAAAAACAGAAACUUUGCGCGCACGAAUAUAAUUUUGUUAAAUCAUAGGAACGUGCUUUUGCGUUGAUUCUUUUUUUUGAUGUUCAAUAAACAAAUUGUACAGGACUUCAUAGUUUGGUACAAGUUUUAGAGUUCCAGAAGUUUGCGUUAGUUACAGAUUGCUACAAACUGUUCUGUUUUUGACACAUUCUAUUUUACGUGUGUUGUUUGCUUAUUUUGAUGAAUCUAUGGCUAGUUAAAUAGUUUAUAAUCCAUAGAGAAGUUGUAAUACAGUAGGUUUAACACCAAUAUAAAUAAAGAAUGAGUUCAUUACAGUAUCUUGAAGUAGUCUUUUGUUUUCUUUCUCUAACGGAGCUCACGAGAUUUCUGUUGAGUUUUGUGUUGUGAAGUUUUCAAGUUUUGGGUGAAUUCUUUUGAUGGAUUAUGGAACAAGGAAUGGCAAGAGCCUAAGCUUGGAGAUGCCCAUGGAACCCCCAAGAUAAUCCAAGGACACCAAAAAGUCAAAGCUUGGGGAUGCCCCGGAAGGCAUCCCCUCUUUCGUUCACUUCCAUCGGUAAUUUACUUGGAGCUAUAUUUUUAUUCACCACAUGAUAUGUGUUUUGCUUGGAGCGUCUUGUAUUAUUUGUGUCUUUGCUUGUUAGUUUACCACAAUAAUCCUUUCUGUACACACCUUUUGAGAGAUCCAUACAUGAAUUGGAAAUUGUUAGAAUACUCUAUGUGCUUCACUUAUAUCUUUUGAGCUUGAUAGUUUUGCUCAUAAUACUUCACUUUUAUCUUUUGAGCGUGAUAAUUUUUGCUCUAGUGCUUCACUUAUAUCUUUUAGAGCAUGGUGGUGGAUUUGUUUUAAAUAAACUAUUGAUCUCUCAUGCUUCACUUAGAUUAUUUUGAGAGUCGUUAAUAGCAUGGUAAUUUGCUUAAUAUUAAUAUACUUGGUAUUCAAGAUAUGUGAAACUUUCUUUUGAGUGAAUUGAAUACUAAGAUAAGUUUGAUGCUUGAUAAUUGUUUUGAGAUAUGGUGGUGAUAAUAUCAAAUUCGUGCUAGUUGGGUGAUUAUGAAUUUGAGAAAUACUUGUGUUGAAGUUUGCAAGUCCUGUAGCAUGCACGUAUGGUUAAAGUUGUGUAACAAAUUUGAAACAUGAAGUGUACCUGGGUUGUGCAUCCUUAUGAGUGGCGGUCGGGGACGAGUGAUGGUCUUUUCCUACCAAUCUAUCCCCCUAGGAGCAUGCACGUAGUACUUGAUUUUUGAUGACUUCUAAAUUUUUGCAAUAAGUAUAUGAGUUCUUUUGACUAAUGUUGAGUCCAUGGAUUAUACGCACUCUCACCUUUCCGCCUUUGCUAGCCUCUUCGGUACCGUGCAUUGCCCUUUCUCACCUUGAGAGUUGGUGAAAACUUCACCGGUGCAUCCAAACCCCGUGAUACGAUAUGCUCUAUCACACAUAAACCUCCUUAUAUCUUCCUCAAAACUGCCACCAUACCUACCUAUUAUGGCAUUUCCAUAGCCAUUCCAAGAUAUAUUGCCAUGCAACUUCCAUCAUCAUCAUCAUGACAUACAUUACUUUUGUCAUAUUGCCAUUGCAUGAUCAUGUAGUUGACAUCGUAUUUGUGGCAAAGCCACCAUGCAUUAUUUUUCAUACGUGUCACUCUUGAUUCAUUGCACCAUCCCGGUACACCGCCGGAGGCAUUUAUAUAGAGUCAUAUCUUGUUCUAAGUUUCGAGUUGUAAUCUUUAUGUUGUAAUCAAUAGAAGUGUGAUGAUCAUCAUUUUUAGAGCAUUGCCCAAAUAAAAAAAAUAAAAAAGGGAGAAAGGCCAAAAGAAAAAAAGAAAGGCCCAAAAAAAUAAAAAUAAAAAAAUAAAAAUAAAAAGGGCAAUGCUACCAUCUCUUUGUCCACACUUGUGCUUCAAAGUAGCACCUUGUUCUUCAUGUAGUGAGUCUCAUAUAUUGUGCUUCAAAGUAGCACCUUGUUCCUCAUGUAGUGAGUCUCAUAAGUUGUCUUUUUUAUACUAGUGGGAAUUUUUCAUUAUAGAACAUGGCUUGUAUAUUCCUACGAUGGGCUUCCUCAAAUGCCCUAGGUCUUCGUGAGGAAGCAAGUUGGAUGCACACCCACUAGUUUUCUUUUGUUGAGCAUUCAUAGCUCUAGUGCAUCCGUUGCAUGGCAAUCCCUACUGCUCAUGUUGACAUCAAUUGAUGGGCAUCUCCAUAGCCCGUUGAUUAUCCUUGUCAAUGUGAGACUUUCUCCAUUUUUGUCUUCUCCACACAAUCCCCAUCAUCAUAUUCUAUUCCACCCAUAGUGCUAUAUCCAUGGCUCACGCUCAUGUAUUGCGUGAAGGUUGAAAAAGUUUGAGAUUAUUUAAGUAUGAAACAAUUGCUUGGCUUGUCAUCGGGGGUAUAGAAGUUGGGAACAUCUUUGUGUGACAAAAAUGAAGCAUAGCCUAACUAUAUGAUUUUGUAGGAUGAACUUUCUUUUGCCAUGUUAUUUUGAGAAGACAUGAUUGCUUUGAUUAGUAUGCUUGAAGUAUUAUUAUUUUUGUAUCAAUAUGAACUUUUGUCUUGAAUCUUUUGGAUCUGAAUAUUCAUAGCACAAUUAAGAAGAUUUACAUUGAAAUUAUGCCAAAGUAUCACUCCGCAUCAAAAAUUCUUUUUUAUCAUUUACCUACUCGAGGACGAGCAGGAAUUAAGCUUGGGGAUGCCUGAUACGUCUCCAACGUAUCUAUAAUUUUUGAUUGCUCCAUGGUACUUUAUCUACUAUUUUGGACUAUAUUCGGUUUUAUUUUCCACUUUUAUAUUAUUUUUGGGACUAACCUAUUAACCGGAGGCCCAGCCUAGAAUUGCUGUUUUUCUGCCUAUUUCAGUGUUUCGAAGAAACGGAAUAUCAAACGGAGUCCAAACGGAAUGAAACCUUCGGGAACGUGAUUUUCUCACCGAACAUGAUCCAGGAGACUUGGACCCUACUACAACAAGUGCCAGAGGCGGUCACGAGGGUCGAGGGCGCCCCCCUAGGCAUGCCCCCUACCUCGUGGGCCCCAUGACGCUCCACCGACGUACUCCUUCCUCCUAUAUAUACCUACGUAUCCCCGAAUGAUCAGAACAGGAGCUAAAAACCUAAUUCCACCGCCGCAACCUUCUCUAUCCACGAGAUCCCAUCUUGGGGCCUGUUCCGGAGCUCCGCCGGAGGGGGCAUCCACUACAGAGGGCUUCUACAUCAAGACCAUAGCCCCUCCGAUGAAGUGUGAGUAGUUUACUUCAGACCUUCGGGUCCAUAGCUAGUAUCUAGAUGGCUUCUUCUCUCUUUUUGGAUCUCAAUACAGUGUUCUUCCCCUCUCUCGUGGAGAUCUAUUCGAUGUAAUCUUCUUUUUGCGGUGUGUUUGUUGAGACCGGUGAAUUGUGGGUUUAUGAUCCAGUAUUAUCUAUGGAAAAUAUUUGAUUCUUCUCUGAAUUCUUUUAUGUAUGAUUGAGUUAUAUUUGCAAGUCUCUUCGAAUUAUCCUUUUUGGUUUGGCCAACUAGAUUGGUAGUUCUUGUAAUGGGAGAAGUGCUUAGCUUUGGGUUCAAUCUUGCGGUGUCCUUACCCAGUGACAGAAAGGGUUGCAAGGCACGUAUUGUAUUGUUGCCAUCGAGGAUAACAAGAUGGUUUUUUUAUCAUAUUGCAUGAAUUUAUCCCUCUACAUCAUGUCAUCUUGCUUAAGGCGUUACUCUGUUUUUAACUUAGGGUGUGUUUGGUUGCAUUCAUGGACUGGAAUGGCAUGGGUCCAACCCGUUCUUGGGCCUAAUUCUUGCGUUUAGUUGGCAGAUGGAACGGUCACCACCUGGUUCCCAUGAACCGAAUAUUCGGCCCAGAUCCGGAACCGGGUGAGACCUCCAAAUUGGGCGGACGACGCGGAACCAGUCUCUUUCCUCGCACUCCUGCAGCCUUAUCCUCUCUCUUGCGGGCUCCUCUCCCUCGUCUCUCCCCUCCACCGAUCUACGCCGUCGGGCUCUCCUCUCUACUGGUCUGCGCCGCCGGCCCUUGUCAUCUCGACCACCUCUGAAGCACAUCCACCCUCUCCUCUGAAGCACGUGCGCGACAGGCGAGCGGCUGCGAGAAGAUCUUGAAGCUGGGCAACAACGGCGGCACACACCGGGAGGGUUGCGCUGCCCCGCUUGAUCCAGGCACCGUCCGUUGACCGCCUGAGCAAGCACCGCCAGAAGCUGCGGUUGCGCGGGGGACGCCAAAGCCAAGCCUCGCAUCCAGCCGGCCGCCAUGCUCAACUGUCGUAUAUUUCUUCUAGCUGCUGUUCAUCUUGUGCUUUGAGUCCGAUUGGUGUAGCUACACUAUUGUUCGUCGCAUGGAUGGAUGGAUUCGAUUCGUUGCUGGUCAAACAAAAAUUGCUUGAGUCUGAUUUAUUGAUGACCACACCCUUGUUCAGAAAUCAAACUCAAUGUUUAGAGAGCUUUGUUGCAUGGAUGGAUGGAUGACCACUUACAAAUCUAUUCCAUUCCAUUCUUCAAACCAAACACCAAAACGUAAUCGUUCCAUUCCUUAGAUUUAUCCAUACCAAACAUAAGGACGGAACUGACCCAUUACAUUGGAAUGAAACCAUGCCAUUCCAUUACACUUCGCUCCCAAACCAAACACACCCUUAAUACUCUAGAUGCAUGCUGGAUAGCGGUCGAUGAGUGGAGUAAUAGUAGUAGAUGCAGAAUCGUUUCGAUCUACUUGUCUUGGACGUGAUGCCUAUAUACAUGAUCAUUGCCUAGAUAUGCUCAUAACUAUGCUCAAUUCUGUCAAUUGCUCAAUAGUAAUUUGUUCACCCACCGUAGAAUACUUAUGUUCUUGAGAGAAGCCACUAGUGAAACCUAUGACCCCCGGUCUAUUCUCAUCAUAUCAAUCUCUAUCACUUUAUUUACUUGCUUUGUUUUUACUUUGCCUUUUACUUUUUACUUUGCAUCUAUCUAUCAAAAAUACCAAAAAUAUUAUUUAUCAUCUCUAUCAGAUCUCACUCUCGUAAGUGACCGUGAAGGGAUUGGCAACCCCUAAUCGCGUUGGUUGCGAGUUGCUAUCGCUUUGUGUAGGUACGAGGGAUUUGUGCGUGGUCUCCUACUGGAUUGAUACCUUGGUUCUCAAAAACUGACAGAAAUACUUACGCUACUUUGCUGCAUCAUCCUCUGCUUUUCGGGGAAAUCCAACGCAGUGCUCAAGAGGUAGCAGUGGCCCGACGAACGGGAUGCAUAUUCGGAUUCAUCUCGUUGUUAUGAGAAACUUCCAUGUACAUAGUAUUUCGAUCCGAGCUACGAUUUAUUUUCUAUGAUUUUCUAAAGUUUUAAAGUUUUUCUAAAAUUACUAGAUUUAUUAUUAAAUCGAAUUAAAAACAGAAUAUACAUUUUAUACUCAGCAGGGGCUAGCCACAGUGAAUACAUGUGGGGCCAGGGGGCUGGGUUGACCCAGUCAACUAGUCCAGUCAUAGUUGACUGGUCAACCUGGGUAGCAGGGCCCAGGUGUCAUGGACACAUGCCAAUUAACAUUUUUUAAACACAGGUAUUUAAUCUAAUUAACUUGUGGGGUUCCUGUGGUCAGUGUCACAGGAGGAAUUCUUUUAGUUAAUUGACGCGGGCCCACAUGUCAGUGGAGGGGGUUAGCAGAGGGUUAGGCCCCCUAAUUAAACCAGUCGGCCACCCAGGUCAGGCACGCACGCGCGCUGUGCACGGUGGCCGGGCGCCACGAGAUGCGACGGGGGCGGUUGGCGGUGGUAGCAGCCGCGGCUCAGGCCAACGCGCGAGGCGCAUGGGGCGGGCAGGACGAGCGGGAGCGGCAGCCGGUGGAUGAGCACGCGUGAGGCGCGGGAGGAGGGCGCCCGAGCAGGUGCAGGCGGCGGAGCUCGCGGCCAGCAACAACGUCAGCAAGCAGCGGGCAGCAGCAGCAGGGGGAGGCGGAGCAGGGGCUACGGCGCACGGGCGCUAGGGCGGCGGCGCCAAGGCCGCGACCAAGGGCGCGGUCGGCGACUGCGGGGUGCCGGCGGAGCGUGGUCAGCAGGCAAGCGGCGGCGGCUACAGGCGACGCGGGCGCGAGCGGGCCUGGUGGGGAGGCCCAGGGCGAAGCGGCAGGCGGCGGGGCAAGGACGUGGUCGGCGAAAGGGGCCAGGCGCCUGCGGCGCGAGGCAGGGCGGGCGGCGUAGGCGCGCGAAGCCAGCGGUGGCUGCAGCAGUCAACGACAGCAGCAGGCGGGGAGGGAAACGGCAGAGUAGCAGCAGGGGGAAUCGAGGGAGGAGGCUCAUGAGGCUGUUGUAGGAUGUGGCAGCGGGCUCGGCAAGGUCGGAAGACGUCGGAGUAGCGGAUCCGCGGCCGGUCAGUGAGGCGGACGAGGGCGUGGGCGAAUGCGAUGGUGAUGGCGACGGCGUAGCGGCGCCUCCGCUCGAAUUGAAGCAGGGAGAGGACGAGGUCGACCGCGGCGGUCCUCCUGGCCAGCUCGCAGCAGAUCGGGGAGGCCCCGGAGCACGACAAUGACGGCGGCUGCAUUGGCUCCGUUCGGUGGAGCUCGAGGGAAGAGAACAAGCAGUUGAGAGAGGUAGGAGAGACUUGGGUUUCGCCAGGGGAUCAGGGUGGGGCACUUAUCCCUGCCUGGCGGCCUGUAGCGUCUCGGUGGCGCCAAUCCAGCCGGUGAGCACGAUCUGAACCAUGCGCACAUUGGCACGCAAGGAGAGAGGAGGGAGACGAUGUUGACUCAGGCUGGGCCUCACUGUGGCAGUUUCUGGGCCAAAUGCAUAGCGUAGUCCUUUCGGCAUUUUCUGUUUUUUUUGUUUCCUAAAUUUCUUCUCUGAUUUGCAUUUUAGUUUAGCUAGCAGAUGACUUUUGUUCAACUUUAAACUUGGAACAUAAAUACUAGUUAACAUUCCGGGAGUGCACAAAAAGUUUAGGGCAAUAGCAAUUAUUUAAUAAUUUUAGAAAUUGAAUUGGUUAAUUAAUUUGCUGUUGGUACUGUUUUAAUUAGGUUAGGGUCCUUUUAAUAAUUCAAAGGUUGUUAUUUUUUAUAUGAAAAUUACUUACUGAAUACUUCUAACAUUUUGAAAAAAAAUAUUCACUGCCUUAUGAAACUAUAGUUGAUUUGUUAUUUGAAUUUGUAUUUGAACUUAGUUUGAAACAAGUGAGCUUUUUAGGAAAAUUUUAAUUAUGAUGACCUGGCAUCAUAUACAGGGGUUUACUGUAGCAUGAUUAUCGGGGUGUUACAAAUCUCCUCCACUACAAGAAAUCUCGUCCCGAGAUUUAAGAGGUAGGAUGAGGGGAAAUGAUUUGGUUAUGAAAUUCUGACAAGUCUUCUUGUCUUGGUUGCUAUUAUCGAAGAGGUCAAUCCAUUGUGUUGAUGUCUUCAUUUCUCUACAUCAGGGUGUCGUGACGAAGUUGUCAUCCUUUCUUCGGGAACUCCAUCGUACUUACGAAAGGACAAGGGGGUGACUUCGGAAGAACGGACCUUUAUAAGGUUGCUUAUCUGGUAGAUAACAUCAGGGAAAGUGCCGGAAAGUAACUCUCGAAUUGAAACUUAAGAAAUAUCAAGAGCAAAGUAAGAAGGUACCAUGAGAAGUUUUGAGAGGGUAGGCAAUCGUUCGAUACCUGAAACAAAG
rnacentral:lncRNA from 1 species